rnacentral:piRNA from 1 species
UCGGCAGAGCAGGCACAGCGGUGUGACGA